rnacentral:rRNA from 1 species
AAACCAGCUCUUCAAGUGGUCGGGAUAAUUAUUGGGCUUAAAGUGUCCGUAGCCGGUUUAGUAAGUUCCUGGUAAAAUCAGGUAGCUUAACUAUCUGUAUGCUAGGAAUACUGCUAUACUAGAGGGCGGGAGAGGUCUGAGGUACUACAGGGGUAGGGGUGAAAUCUUAUAAUCCUUGUAGGACCACCAGUGGCGAAGGCGUCAGACUGGAACGCGCCUGACGGUGAGGGACGAAAGCCAGGGGAGCGAACCGGAUUAGAAACCCGAGUAGUCC